rnacentral:rRNA from 1 species
UACGAAGGGGGCUAGCGUUGCGCGGAAUCACUGGGCGUAAAGCGCACGUAGGCGGACUCUUAAGUCGGUGGUGAAAUCCUGGAGCUCAACUCCAGAACUGCCUUCGAUACUGGGAGUCUCGAGUCCGGGAGAGGUGAGUGGAACUGCGAGUGUAGAGGUGAAAUUCGUAGAUAUUCGCAAGAACACCAGUGGCGAAGGCGGCUCACUGGCCCGGUACUGACGCUGAGGUGCGAAAGCGUGGGGAGCAAACAGG